rnacentral:antisense_RNA from 1 species
GAUGAAGCAAUAUGGAGAGGUCGACUAUGCGUCCGUUUUUUCUGCACUACUUUACUGCGACAGAAGGGUUGUCCUGGUUGGCUUGCCUGAGCGCGCCGCAGCGCUUAAAGAUGCUCGAAGAACUGAUGCAAUGGGAGGUGACAGCCUGACCUCUGAGGUCCAAAUUGCAGACAUCAUGUGUGACUGAGUAUUGGUGUAGGCUCUGGCCUAAAAUCACCCGCCAGCAGAUAAUACCUGCUGGCUUUUUUC